rnacentral:rRNA from 1 species
GAUCAUAGCUCAGAUUGAACGCUGGCGGCAUGCUUUACACAUGCAAGUCGGACGGCAGCACAGAGAAGCUUGCUUCUUGGGUGGCGAGUGGCGAACGGUUGAGUAACAUAUCGGAACGUACCGAGCGAGUGGGGGAUAACUAAUCGAAAGAUUAGCUAAUACCGCAUAUAUUCUGAGGAAGAAAGCAGGGGACCAUUUGGCCUUGCGCUGUUUGAGCGGCCGAUAU